rnacentral:ncRNA from 1 species
AAGUUGUUAUAGUUAAAAAUCUCGUAGUUGGAUCUUGGAUCGUAAAGGUCGGUCUGCCUACUUGGUGUGCACUUGCCCUUCCGCCCUUUUGUCGGUGGCGUGCUCCUGGCCUUAAUUGGCUGGGUCGUAGUUUCGACGUUGUUACUUUGAAAAAAAUAUAGUGCUCAAAGCAAGCUUAUGCUCUGAAUACAUUAGCAUGGAACAAAGCGAUAGGAGUUUGGUCCUAUUUUGUUAUACUUCGAGACCAGAGUAAUGAUUAAUAGGGACUGUCGGGGGCAUUCGUAUUUCAGUGUCAGAGGUGAAAUUCUUGGAUUUAUGAAAGACGAACCACUGCGAAAGCAUUUGCCAAGGAUGU